AAAAAUAAUAAUAAGGGUGACUCUCAAAAAGCUUGCUUGGCAAAAGAUCUAAUAAAAGGGAAAUGGAAAGGGGUUGGUAGUGGGUGACGUCCACCCUUGUGCUUCAGAAUGAUUUAUGUAUUGAACAUGUGAAUGGAAUUAAAACCAAAUGAGUUAAGUCUUGCGCAAGCGGUCUAAACGAGCCCCUAGGUUGACACGGUUGUAUUCGGACUCUAUGCGGUGGUUUCAGGGUGUAAGAGAGCCCUUUGGUAUGAUAUGUGUAGGGUGUAAGCGAGCCCUAGGCACGAUUUGGUAUGGUAUGUGCAGGGUGUAAGCGAGCCCUAGGCACGAUUUGGGUGUAAGCGAGCCCACUUGUUUGGCCGUCCCUUUUGAGGUCCAUCAAUGUCACUAACCGGUAAAUAACCAGGAGGUGGGCAUAGGUGGUAAGGUCUGCAAAGCAGCAAAAGGGGGAGUCUGAGUAAUCCGGUGUUCAACCUUGUGGUUAGGUAGAAGGAUCUCUUUGGGGGAUCCUAGAUGUCUAGGCAAACUCCUAAUUCAUAGAACCUUGUUGUAAUUUUGCAUGUUAUGUUACCCAAUUUGUCCUAUGUAUGGUUGAUUGGUUGAUAGAAGAUAUGGGGAUGUGUGUGUUUUUACUGGGCAUUCAAAGCUCAUGGCGUGUCAUGCCAGGUGGUGAAGCAGUUAUAAUGAUGAAAGUUAUUGCAAAGGCAAAUACAAUGAAGUGUUGGAGCGGUGGUUCAUUUGAAGACUUAGACUAGUUGUUUUUGUUUUCAAUGUUUUGUAAUCCUGCAAUGGAAAAUAAACGAAUGAUCCGUGAUACUAACUCUGGUUAUAUAUGUAUAUUAAGAUGUUUUGGUUAUCUAUCCUAAUUGUGUGGUAAUAUUGUACUUAA